rnacentral:rRNA from 1 species
GAUGAACGCUGGCGGCGUGCCUAAUACAUGCAAGUCGAGCGAACAGACGAGGAGCUUGCUCCUCUGACGUUAGCGGCGGACGGGUGAGUAACACGUGGAUAACCUACCUAUAAGACUGGGAUAACUUCGGGAAACCGGAGCUAAUACCGGAUAAUAUAUUGAACCGCAUGGUUCAAUAGUGAAAGACGGUUUUGCUGUCACUUAUAGCUGGAUCCGCGCCGCAUUAGCUAGUUGGUAAGGUAACGGCUUACCAAGGCGACGAUGCGUAGCCGACCUGAGAGGGGGAUCGGCCACACUGGAACGGAGACACGGACCAGACUCCUACGGGAGGCAGCAGUAGGGAAUCGUCCGCAAUGGGCGAGAGCCUGACGCAGCAACGCCGCGUGAGUGAUGAAGGUCUUCGGAUCGUAAAACUCUGUUAUUAGGGAAGAACAAAUGUGUAAGUAACUAUGCACGUCUUGACGGUACCGAAUCAGAAAGCCACGGCUAACUACGUG